rnacentral:rRNA from 1 species
UUCCAGACUCCUACGGGAGGCAGCAGUGAGGAAUAUUGGUCAAUGGACGAGAGUCUGAACCAGCCAAGUAGCGUGAAGGAUGACUGCCCUAUGGGUUGUAAACUUCUUUUAUAAAGGAAUAAAACGAGGCACGUGUGCCUUUUUGCAUGUACUUUAUGAAUAAGGAUCGGCUAACUCCGUGCCAGCAGCCGCGGUAAUACGGAGGAUCCGAGCGUUAUCCGGAUUUAUUGGGUUUAAAGGGUGCGCAGGCGGCGCGGCAAGCCGGCGGUCAAAUCGCGGGGCUCAACCCCGCCCAGCCGUCGGAACUGCCGGGCUAGAGUGGGCGAGAAGUGCGCGGAAUGCGUGGUGUAGCGGUGAAAUGCAUAGAUAUCACGCAGAACUCCGAUUGCGAAGGCAGCGCACCGGCGCCCUACUGACGCUCAGGCACGAAAGCGUGGGUAUCGAACAGGAUUAGAUACCCCUGUAA